rnacentral:rRNA from 1 species
UACGGGGGGGGCAAGCGUUGUUCGGAAUUACUUGGCGUAAAGGGCUCGUAGGUGGCCAACUAAGUCAGACGUGAAAUCCCUCGGCUUAACCGGGGAACUGCGUCUGAUACUGGAUGGCUUGAGGUUGGGAGAGGGACGCGGAAUUCCAGGUGUAGCGGUGAAAUGCGUAGAUAUCUGGAGGAACACCGGUGGCGAAGGCGGCGUCCUGGACCAAUUCUGACACUGAGGAGCGAAAGCCAGGGGAGCAAACGGG